CGAUGCCGCGCAGGAAUGUGAAAGGCUCCCGCCCGCCGCCAUUUUCUUUCUUUCUUGGCAGGCAGCGAGUAGGGCAGGAAGCGCCGGCGGAGCGGCUAUGGCGGAUUAUUCCACGGUGCCCCCUCCUGCUUCGGGCGCGCCCGGAGGAGGAGGAGGCGGAGGUGGGGGAGUCAACGAUGCCUUUAAAGACGCACUGCAGCGGGCUAGGCAGAUUGCAGCAAAAAUUGGAGGUGAUGGAGGGACAUCAAUGAAUUCAAAUGAUUACGGUUAUGGAGGACAAAAAAGACCUCUUGAGGAUGGAGAUGGCUCUUGGACAAGUCCGAGCAGUACAACACACUGGGAGGGAAUGCCCUCUCCUUUUAAAGAUCAACCAGAUGCUAAGAAAGUUGCUCCUCAGAAUGACUCUUUUGGAACCCAGCUACCCCCGAUGCAUCAGCAACAAAGGUCUGUAAUGACAGAGGAGUACAAAGUUCCAGAUGGAAUGGUUGGAUUCAUAAUUGGCAGAGGAGGAGAACAGAUUUCACGCAUACAGCAAGAAUCUGGAUGCAAAAUACAAAUUGCUCCUGAUAGCGGUGGCCUGCCUGAUAGAUCUUGCAUGUUAACUGGAACACCCGAAUCUGUUCAGUCUGCAAAGAGACUGCUUGACCAGAUAGUUGAAAAGGGAAGACCUACACCUGGCUUUCAUCAUGGUGAUGGACCAGGAAAUGCUGUCCAAGAAAUUAUGAUUCCAGCUAGUAAGGCAGGAUUGGUUAUUGGAAAAGGUGGAGAGACCAUUAAGCAACUUCAGGAACGAGCAGGAGUCAAAAUGGUCAUGAUUCAAGAUGGGCCACAGAACACUGGUGCAGACAAACCUCUGAGGAUUACAGGAGACCCGUACAAAGUUCAACAAGCCAAGGAAAUGGUGUUGGAGUUGAUUCGUGAUCAAAGUGGCUUUAGAGAGGCGCGCAAUGAAUAUGGGUCAAGAAUAGGAGGAAAUGAAGGGAUAGAUGUCCCAAUACCACGAUUUGCUGUUGGUAUUGUAAUUGGAAGAAAUGGAGAGAUGAUAAAAAAGAUACAGAAUGAUGCUGGUGUUAGAAUCCAGUUUAAGCCAGAUGAUGGGACAACUCCAGAUAGAAUAGCCCAAAUUACAGGACCUCCAGACAGAUGUCAACAUGCUGCAGAAAUUAUUACAGACCUCCUUCGAAGUGUCCAGGCUGGUAAUCCUGGUGGUCCCGGACCUGGUGGUCGUGGAAGGGGCAGAGGCCAAGGCAACUGGAACAUGGGGCCUCCUGGUGGAUUACAGGAAUUUAAUUUUAUUGUACCCACUGGAAAAACUGGAUUAAUCAUUGGAAAAGGUGGUGAAACUAUCAAAAGCAUAAGUCAGCAAUCUGGGGCUAGAAUAGAACUUCAGAGAAAUCCUCCACCAAAUGCAGAUCCUAACAUGAAGUUGUUUACCAUCCGUGGGACACCACAGCAAAUUGAUUAUGCUCGGCAACUUAUAGAAGAAAAGAUUGGAGGUCCAGUAAAUCCUUUGGGUCCACCUGUUCCUCAUGGGCCCCAUGGUGUUGUUCCUGGCCCACAUGGACCUCCUGGCCCACCAGGUCCUGGCAAUCCUAUGGGACCUUAUAAUCCUGCUCCUUAUAAUCCAGGGCCUCCUGGUCCCGCACCUCAUGGCCCUCCAGCCCCAUAUGCUCCACAAGGGUGGGGAAAUGCCUAUCCACACUGGCAGCCACCAAAUCCACCAGAUCCAGGUAAACCAGGAACAGAUCCCAAUUCAGCAGCAUGGGCAGCUUAUUAUGCUCACUACUAUCAGCAGCAAGCACAGCCGCCACCUGCAGCCCCUCCUGGUGGACCACCUACAACCCAAACUAAUGGACAAGGAGAACAACCAAAUCCAGCACCAGCAGGGCAGGUUGAUUACACCAAAGCUUGGGAAGAGUACUACAAAAAAAUGGGUCAACAAGGGCAGCCACAAGAUUAUUCAAAGGCUUGGGAGGAAUAUUACAAGAAGCAAGGUCAAGCAGUUCCAGCUCCCGCUGGGGCCCCACCAGGUCAGCCUGAUUACAGUGCAGCAUGGGCUGAAUACUACAGACAGCAAGCAGCAUAUUAUGCCCAGACAAGUCCACAGGGAAUGCCACAGCAUCCUCCAGCACCACAGUGCCUUCCCAGACCUUCCACCUUAGGUUCUGCUGCAAAAAGCAACAGUGCUGAAGAUGCUGCAAGCACCAAAUCAUAGCUCAUAAAAUCAGGUCCUGAGAUAGUUACUACCAAUAAAGAGGAAUCCUUUGAGUGUAUGCCAUUGGUGAGCCGAUGAGCACGGACCAUAGAAGGGGUCCAUGUAGAAGAAAAUGAAAUAUCACUGAUGAAUGGAAAUGAGGUGCUUCAUUGUUGCCCUUCUCCAUUAGACACUGUCUGCAAGGAGAAGGCUGGGAUUUGCAAACUCCAACUGAGAAUGAAAACAAGCAACUAAGAAUGAAUAUUCCUUCAACUGCUGUAUGUCUACAGGGAGAAUGAAUCCAUGAGCUAUGAUGGCAUCACUGUUCAAGUUUGCUGCACAUUCUAAGCAUCAUGGCAUUGAGCUGUUGCUCACAGAGUUGAGAAAAUUAUAGGACAUCAGCUUUUCAGAAUGAUUAAAUUACUGAAUAUCUAUGGAAAGGGGGAAAAUGGAAGGAAAUAACUGAAUUAUCCCCUUUAGAAAACUCUGCAAAGGUACAACCAACAAAGGCAAGUGAUUGGGAGGAAAAUGGUAAUUUAUAACCAACUAAAGUUGGGUGUGUAGAAAGGGAAACACAAUAAGAGCUUUUAAAAAAAAAUUGCAAAUGUCACUUUUAUAUUAAAACUAUGUAUUUCAGAAUGUGGGUGAAGGGGUGGAACAAAGUAUUGUUUAGGAUAAGCACUGUGGCUUUCUAAACGAAGAAUACAGUAUAAUGUUGGAGAGCUGUGGUGUACAGGGUUGUUAGUAAGAGGAAAGGUUAAGCACCUGGAAAACAGAGCUGGACCUAAGCUACAGAAUUUGGAUUCAAGAUCAGAUAUGGAUUUUGACCCCAUGCUCACACUCACAAGUUCGGAGGCAUUCUGAUGCUGGGCUCCAACAAUUUGGUUUUGGAAAUUUUCAGGCUUUCAAUUUUCUGAGUGUCUGUGUUUCCACAAUUUUGUGCUGAAUUAGGAUCUUUAAAAAUUGUUACUAUACAAACACCACAUCAAGUGCAAGAUGGUUACAAUCUGCCCAGGAACAGUCUAGUAUAAUCAAGCUGUUUUUAGUUACCAAAAGUGUGUGGUCUAUUAAAUUCCUAGAAAUAAAAUCUUGCAUGGUGCAUUGAAAUAAAAACCCCAUUCACAAAUGCAAAUACUAGUGUGUACCUUCUGUGUGGGAGAACAAUGGCAUAAAUAGUCAUCUGAAUGCACAGAAGUAAAAUCUAUGUUUAAAUACAGAAUUUUCUAAAGGUGGUCUCAUUUUGUUGCAAAUUAUUAAGAAAAUGUAGUUAAACUAUCCAACGUACCUGAUGCGAAUACUCAAACAAUUGUUAUUGCUAUAGACCAUAGUACCUAAUUUAUACAGAGGUCUACUGAAUCUUAGAUAAACCUAGCUUACAAAAAUCUUUAGGGCAAAGGCUAUAUUAUGGAGACAUAUCAGGUGGGAGUUGAGGGGAGAGAGAACAGGAUUUUUUUUUUAUUUCUGACAACAUAUUAGGCUAAAUCUCUCCAAGGCUUAAUCUAGAGUGUAUUAUUUAAACCCCCUAUAAAGAAAAAGAGUGAUCCAACCUUCCCCUCCCCUCCUCUCUCUCCUACUCCAGAGAGAAAUCCUCAGUGAUGAAUAUAAACAUGGUAGGUAAACAAAAGAGAUUAAUAAGAAAUGGCUCCAGACAAUUGCCAUGGAAUGCUUUCUUGUGUGAAAAUACUGGUUAUUCCAAUGCUCAAAGUAUCACUGAAGCUAGACAAAGUGUAGAUAACACCAAAUUUGUUAAAUAAUGUUUAGCCAUGUGACUAAAAACACUAGAAGGAUGCUGAUACCCACAAAUGUGGUAAAUUCAUCUGGAGUAGUUUAAGUUCAAUCAAUAUUUAAUUAAUUGAAAACUAAGAACUGGAGUCAAUUUAAGAACAGGAUAAAAUCUGUUCAUACUUUUAUACAAUUGCUUCAGUUCCAAAAAGAUGAAAACAUACUGACACAUGGAACUGGAGUAUCCUAUGAUGCAUACAUUUUGUAAGAAUGAAUAUGAUUGAUAGCAUGUUUUUAAGAAAAGGAAGCUUCACUCAUACCAGUGGCUUGUUUAACUGACUAUGCCAAGACUUAAAUGAAUCACUAUCUAGAACAGUGAUUUUCAAAGUUCGGGUCACGACCCAGUACUGGGUCACAGAAUGCAAGGCACUGGGUCGCUUUGCUCAGCACCCAGGAACCCUGGCAGCUGGCCAGUAAAAACUAGUAGUCCCUACCUCUUCUGACACCGCACUGUGCCCCAGAAGUGGCCAGCAGGUCCGGCUCGUAGGCAGUGGGCCACGGAGGUUCUGUGCACUGCCCUUGCACUGAGCACUGGCUCUAGACUCCCAUUGGCCAGUUCCCAGCCAAUGGGAGCUGGGGGGUGGUGCCUGUGGGCGAGAGCCACAUGGAGCUACUUGUGUGCCUCCGCCUAGGAACCGGACCUUCUGGACGCUUCCGGGGCACAACGCAGUUCGCAGUGCCAGGAUAGGCAGGAAGCCUGCCUCUACACCCCAUCUGCGCCACUGACUAGGAGCCACAGGAUGUAAGUGUGCACCCAACCCCCCUUCCCCAGCCCUGAGCCCGCCUCCCACACCCUGAAUCCUCAUUCCUGGCCCCACUCCACAGCCCUCACCCCCACACCCCAUCCGUUUGGUCACGGGCAUCAACAACUUUCUUCCACCGGUUCACCAGAAAAAAAGUUUGAAAACUACUGAUCUAGAACAGUAUCUAGGGCAGAAAGUAUUUUUGAAACUGAUGAUGCUGUCAGGUCUCAAUCUCAACUGUUAAAAAAUGAGAAUCAUGAGGUUAACAGUUUGAAACAAUUCAGAUGUUCCUCAGAUACAUGAAGGAAUGUAGUGUAUUUUCUACACAAAUAAGCAUCCAUAACUAGAAAUGAAUAAUGCAUCCAUUUACCAUUUGUUGUCUAGCUUCUUCAAAGGCACGUUUUUCCUCUUCCAAACGUUGUCUUGCCUCCUCCUCUGCUUGCCUCCUUUGAUUUUCUUGUCUUUGUCUUUCCAGUUCUUCAAAUGUUAAUUUCAGUUUCCCAGGAGAAAGAGGUUCAUUUGUUUCACUGCCUUCAUCUUCAUCCUGGAUAACAAAAAUGAAAGUUAAAUACAGUUUAAAUAUCAAACCUGUGUUUCCCAAGUAUUUCUCGUGAUUUGUUUACCAUGACAAAUGAAAGACACUUGGCUUCCUUGAGAGAUCGUUUUUGUUCCUCAUAUCUUAUGCUCUUUUCUUCUUGCUUUCUUUUUUCUUCUUGUUCUCUCUCAUUUCCUGGGUCUUCAAAUUUUAUUUUAAUCUUUCCAGGUGUUUUGUUAGGUUUGACAGGCACUACUGUCACCAGCAACGAAUCAUCACCUUCCUGUUGUUAAUAAUAAAUUUGUUUCCAUAAAUAUUGACUUUUUGGAGUAGUCUUUCCACAUGCAGCUGCCACUGUUACCUGUGCUUCUCAAAACUGCCAACAUAGUUAUAUUGAGACCAAAAGUAGGGACCAGAGCAAAACUCACUUUCCAGUGCUACUGACAGCCAUUAGUUUUCUUCUGACAACUGAAGAGCAUCAAGAGAAUUUUAUUUUAAAUUGAAAUGCGACUGGUAGCAAGCAUUCCUAGAACUCGUACAGUAUCUUCAUUGACAGUUGAACGUAUCUACAAUAUUCAUGGCUGAUUGGAAAAAAGCUGCUGACAUUUUGCAGACAUAAUUGUAAAUGCACCUCAGUUUUAAGGUGCUAUACUCCAUUUGGAAACAAGCUAAUAGGGAAUUUGCUUUCACACUCUCUCUUUCUCCAUAAACAAAUAUGUGGUUUAAAAAAUAGCAUGUGAAGUAACUGCCAGUCCCUUCAGUCUUACUUGGGCAGAAGUCUGGGAUCUAUUACAUCUAUGUGCAUGUUCAAGCUCCAUGAUAUCUAGGACUGAGUCCUUAGUAAUUUUUUUAAGUGUCAGAAGUUGUGCAGCAUUUCAAAAUGUCUGAUUAGAGCAACACUGACAACUCAAACAUUUACAGACUUCUUUUGUAUAUAAAAUGUAUUGCUGUCUUGAGUGAAUUUGAGCUAUUGUCCAAUACAAAUUCAUGUGCAAAAAUAUCUUCUAUGAUGUGGAUUUACACAAAAUAUCACCAUUAAAGAGACUGUCUAGUAAUUUAGACCCAAAAUUUAGAUUUAAAAAAACAAACAAACAGAAAAAAACCUUCAGUAGAAGUGUGAUGAUUACACUUUGUUUUGACACCUUAGUGAAAAAUGGGUUUUUGGUGUCUAGCUUUUUAAAAAAUUAAACAUCCUCUUACAAUGCUGGAACCUCAUAGACAACAACAUUGUGCUAGCAUAUGUAAGCCAGUGUGUUAAACUGACCAAACAAACCAGUUUAGCUACACUUUCCAAGCUGAAGUGCAAUAUGUAAAUCAAAACAUCGUUAAAGUGAUUAUAUACAUUUUUUUAAACGAAUCUAAAAAUCUUGAUUGUACUGUAACAUUAAAAAAAAAAAAGGCUUGACACUAUUCCUGUUUAAUUUCAAGAUUAAAAAAGGCAAAGAGCUUUUAAGGUUAGAUUUUCAAAGCCACUCGUGCAUUUAGAGGCCCAUGUCCUGUGAGCAUCAGAAUCCUUUACAUGGCUUUGAAAAUGUAAGCCUUAGUUAUUUUUUUUAUUCUGACUUUAAUGGUUGGUAAGUCAUUCACCUUUAAACUUGUUUUAAAGCUAGAAUAAAUUGGCCUCAUAGAUAGAUAGCCACAAAAUAUAUUGCCAAGAUAUUUUUCUCAGGCUUUUUUAGCCUUGUUACAGAAUUUCAGUGAAAAAUUAAGUGUAUUGUUUAUUUAUCCAACCCCUAUUAAAAUAAUAAAGCAGUGAAUAAAAAAUUGGGUGAAUGUUUCUUUGAGGGGAAAAAAAAAGUCCAAUUACCUCUGAUGCUGAUUCAGUUCCUGUAUUGUUUAUGUCAUCAAUCUAUUAAAUGAGAAUUUCACAUAA